AACGAACGCUGGCGGCAUGCCUAACACAUGCAAGUCGAACGAGACCUUCGGGUCUAGUGGCGCACGGGUGCGUAACGCGUGGGAACCUGCCCUUAGGUUCGGAAUAACUCCCCGAAAGGGGUGCUAAUACCGGAUAAUGUCUUCGGACCAAAGAUUUAUCGCCUUUGGAUGGGCCCGCGUUGGAUUAGCUAGUUGGUAGGGUAAAAGCCUACCAAGGCGACGAUCCAUAGCUGGUCUGAGAGGAUGAUCAGCCACACUGGGACUGAGACACGGCCCAGACUCCCACGGGAGGCAGCAGAGGGGAAUAUUGGACAAUGGGCGAAAGCCUGAUCCAGCAAGGCCGCGUGAGUGAUGAAGGCCUUAGGGUUGUAAAGCUCUUUUACCCGGGAUGAUAAUGACAGUACCGGGAGAAUAAGCUCCGGCUAACUCCGUG
rnacentral:rRNA from 1 species